rnacentral:rRNA from 1 species
UGGGGAAUCUUGCACAAUGGGGGAAACCCUGAUGCAGCGACGCCGCGUGAGCGAUGAAGCCCUUCGGGGUGUAAAGCUCUUUCGGCAGGAACGAUAAUGACGGUACCUGCAGAAGAAGCUGCGGCUAACUACGUGCCAGCAGCCGCGGUAAUACGUAGGCAGCAAGCGUUGUUCGGAGUUACUGGGCGUAAAGAGUGUGUAGGCGGUUCGCCAAGUUCGGUGUGAAAUCUCCCGGCUUAACUGGGAGGGUGCGCCGAAUACUGGCGGGCUAGAGUGCGGGAGAGGAGAGCGGAAUUCCUGGUGUAGCGGUGAAAUGCGUAGAUAUCAGGAGGAACACCUGCGGUGUAGACGGCUCUCUGGACCGUUUCUGACGCUGAGACACGAAAGCGUGGGUAGCAAACA